AGAAAAGUAAACUAUCUUGGAAUAAGUUCCAGAUGUUCAUCCCUUUAUAUAAUUAGAAAACCCUAACAUAUGCUUUAAAUACUUCAUCUUAAUUAUGGAAACAAAAUCACAUAUCACAGUAUUUUCUCGAAUAGACGGCAACGUGUGUGACAGUUUCUCAGGAGUCUGAUGCCUUAUCAAGAAUGUCGUUAGCUCCUCUUCACAUUUAAACAAGUUCUAUCUUCAUCUGACGAUGAAUCUUGAUGGCUUAUCAUACAUGUGACAACUUAUCAAAUUUGUCAACAGUUCUUCACUUUAAGUUCUCAACCACUUCCUAAGCCUGACGACCAGCAUUGAUGAGUUAUCGCAACUCUGAUAGCCAAUCACAGGUUGUCGUCACUUCUUCCAGCUGAAUCUUAAACACUGUUUAAGGUUGAUGAUGACUUAUCAAGACUUUGAUGAUACAUCAGACAAUGUCAUCACUUUUUCACUUCAAAUCUCAUGUACUGCUGUAGACUGACGGAAUUCUCAAGGGCUUAUCAGAAUUGUUAUAACUUAUUAAAGAUGUUGUCACAUUUCUGCUCCAACUUCCUCACACUGUCUGCAAUUGACAAUGACUCUGAUAACUUAUCACAAAUUUGACACUUAUUAGACAAGUCAUCAACUACACUUUCAUGGCCACUUGUUCUAAAUUCACCUCUUUUGCUCUUAUUAACUUUGGUUUUCUUGCAUCUUGACUUUCCUGCAUUAUCAAAGAGAAAGCAAUCAAAAACGACAAAAGUUUCUAAAGAAUUUACAAUAAUUUCUAGUUAAAAGCCUCAAAUAUGUUAGUAUCUGCUCACAUAUCAACACCCUCAAAACAAUUGCUUGUCCUCAAGAAACUAAAACAUAACUAAGAUGAUACAAAGCACAUUUGGCAGUCAAUCAUCCAUUUUAGCUCAUAACAUGUUCACCAUCUCGAAGGUGAAUUAAUUUUAAAAAACAACUAUGCAUAUUAUUGAAGAAAAACAAUACGACACACAAGAAUCAAGAUAUGGCAUAAAUUCAGUAACAACAACCAUGCAUGUACCAAGAUUAGACUAUCCAAACAAGUUUGCAACUAGCAACGUAACCAGUGUGCCUUAACUACAAAGAAGUCCCACUUCACUUAUAUCAUACAUCUCUUAUGUAACCAUGGGGGAAAUCAAAAGACGAUCACUCUUAGAAUGAAGCUUCAAUCAAUGUAUGCCAAAUACCAUAGGCUUGCCCUUCUUUUCAUUACUCAGAUUUUCAAAUAGGUCAGCUAAGACCACUAUAGGUAUUCUCUUUGGCUUGUAAUGUAGGCUAGGGGAUGGUAUGAUACUCUAUGAUAUUUAACGUGACUAAUCCUCCUUGACAUUACACUAGCUUCUAGGGUCUCACUUAUUAACCUUUUACUAUUCUUCUCUUUUCUUGAUCACACAUAUUCCGGAUGGGUGUGGUCUUUUCUACAAUCACUUCUUUUUUUUUCACAACUUUUCUUUUCUUAUUCUUUUCCACCGUAACUAAAUUUUUAUUCUACCUUUAUCUAUACUUAUUUUACAUCAUGUACCCCUAUGAUAGCCACCCUCAACUUAGGUCAUUUGCCUAAGUCAAGGUGCAUAAUAUCUAAGGAGGACUAGAGCCAAAACAAGUUCAUUAUGAUAUAAAUAGGACGGUGAUAGGUAUCAUAAAAAGAAAUAGGCUAUUCAGGCUCAAAAUAGGGAUAAAGGGAUAUUACACAUACAAGGAAGGUCAUUUAGGCUAAAAGUGGGCAAAUAUCAAAACGGCCUAUGAUCCUUUCCUAACCCCUAUCCUUGAACCUAGGUAAGACUAUCUGGGCAAGUUUUGGAUUCAACAUACAAAGGGAACUAAGUAAGAUCUCACACUCACAAGGCACACAAGUAUAUCACAAUUUACUACUUAUUCAGUUCAUACAAUUGUUAGCAAUGAUUAUCAAGUCACUAAUACCAAUGCCAUAAAAAGUUUCACAGUAGUCGCAUCUAGAUGCACAUUACAUAGUUACAAAGUAGACAAUUGGAUUGGUAUUUAUCAUUCCCAAAAAAAUCAACAAGAAUAUGUCAACUGCCGUAGAUACUUAUUUUUCUCCUUGUUAACCACAACACAUUACAAAAUAAAACACAAUACACCUAAACAUGCCGAAUCUACUAGGAACAAGACUCCGGGGAAAAGAGGCACAACAACAAAAACCCCAAGAGGACAUCAACACCAUUAAGUAGCCCCACCCUCAACUUAAAAUCAUGAAAUAUAUCCAAUGAGUCAAACCAAAACAAGAUAGCUAGAAACAAACCUAUUGCACCAUGGGUGCGAAGAUCUGAUGUCAAUCACAAAAUAAGAAUAUAGAAAACAAAAUAGCUUGAAUUGCCUCCCAAGCAAAGCCUAAUUUAGUGUGGCGGCACGACCCGACUCAACUUUUUCCUCCACCUUGAAGAUAUGAAUUUCACCCCCUAUUUAGAGUCUAUCUUCUUACCUCGAUCAUAGGGGGUGAUAUGAAAAUUAGGAAGUCGAGUAAUGCACUAAUCAUGGUAAAACCAGUCGGCCUUAAAGUGAGGUGUGUUUUUAUGUUGCUUGUCUAAUGUAAAAUAAAGAAAAUAGGAUUCUUGUUCCUCAUCUUCACACUCUUCUACUAUUUUAAAUAGUUCUAAGACAAGAUAUCAUCUAAACCUAAUAUAGAAAAGUGCUUUGAGGCCCAAUCAAUCCUACGUCAAAAUUUAAACUAUCUUUAACACACUGAAUUUUAUUUAUCUUUUCAACAUCUUCACUUUGAAUUAGGCGAGAGUCUUUAUUAGAGAUUUUCUUUGUUUCUCCUUUUGCCUCUAGCACCAUGUCCUUAAUCUUGGCAUCAUCUCCCAUGGUUUGUUUGGUUGGUUGGGAAAUUACAGAGGGUUUCUCAACAUCAAGCUCAACAUCAAUAUAAGGUUCUUGCUCCUCAUCUUCACACUCUUCUAUUAUUUUAAAUGAUUCCACAGACAAGAUAUCAUCUAAAUAUAAUAUAGAAGAAUGCUUAGAAUGAUUGACCUCUAUAUCUAUCUCCUUAAGAAUGAAUGGCUUCAUGUCUUAACACAUAUCGCAUACGAUAUCAUACGUUUCUUUCUGGAGAUCAAAUAUUCGUUGAAAUAUAGCUUCAAUGCCACUCUUCCCAGUGCUUUGUUCAUUCUUUUAUUGACCAU
rnacentral:lncRNA from 1 species